CAAACUACACAAAGUUAAGAAAACUGUGAAAAGGACAGUUUUGGAGCAGUCACUUCCGGGAUAAAUUCCGGGUGCUAAACAUAUCCAAAUAUGGAUUGUGAUAUAUGAAAACUAUAGUUCGGAAAGAUACGAAUCCAACAAAAUUGACGGAUCAUUAAUCGGAGUUACAGAUUUCGUUUUAUUUAAGUUUUGGUGAAGGACUCCAAAACUGCCAAAGUGCAAAAAGUUUCUGGCCAAAAUUUUCCGAGGGCUGUUUUGGACAUUUAGUUAAUGAGAAAAAUUACAGGCUUUUGGGAAAUGAAAAUAUAUGGUAAUAUGUAGCUCGUGUCCAAAAAUGAGCUAAUUCCGAGUUAAAACGACCAAGUUAUGACCAUUUCAAUUUUUGUGAUUUUCCGACGGAAAUCGCUAUAAACGGAGUUCUACAACUCCGAUUGCCACGAAAUUUAAAAUGGAGCAUCACGUUAACAUAUAUAAGGUUAUG
rnacentral:lncRNA from 1 species